AGAGUUUGAUCCUGGCUCAGGAUGAACGCUGGCGGCAUGCCUAAUACAUGCAAGUCGAACGAGAGACCUUCGGGUCUCUAGUGGCGAACGGGUGAGUAACACGUAGGGAACCUGCCCGCGCACCGGGAAUACGCUCUGGAAACGGAGAACAAAUCCCGAUGUACAGGAAGGAGGCAUCUUCUUUCUGUGAAACAUCCUUUCGGGGAUGGGGCGCGGAUGGACCUGCGGUGCAUUAGUUGGUUGGCGGGGUAAAGGCCCACCAAGACGAUGAUGCAUAGCCGGCCUGAGAGGGCGGACGGCCACAUUGGGACUGAGACACGGCCCAGACUCCUGCGGGAGGCAGCAGUAGGGAAUUUUCGUCAAUGGGCGCAAGCCUGAACGAGCGAUGCCGCGUGAGUGAAGAAGGCCUUCGGGUCGUAAAGCUCUGUUGCGGGGGAAAAAAGGCAGCAUCAGGAAAUGGGUGCUGACUGAUGGUGCCCCGCCAGAAAGUCACGGCUAACUACGUGCCAGCAGCCGCGGUAAUACGUAGGUGGCGAGCGUUAUCCGGAAUGAUUGGGCGUAAAGGGUGCGCAGGCGGUCCUGCAAGUCUGGAGUGAAACGCAUGAGCUCAACUCAUGCAUGGCUUUGGAAACUGGAGGACUGGAGAGCAGGAGAGGGCGGUGGAACUCCAUGUGUAGCGGUAAAAUGCGUAGAUAUAUGGAAGAACACCAGUGGCGAAGGCGGCCGCCUGGCCUGUUGCUGACGCUGAGGCACGAAAGCGUGGGGAGCAAAUAGGAUUAGAUACCCUAGUAGUCCACGCCGUAAACGAUGAGGACCAAGUGUUGGGGGUGAAACCUCAGUGCUGAAGUUAACGCAGUGAGUCCUCCGCCUGGGGAGUAUGCACGCAAGUGUGAAACUCAAAGGAAUUGACGGGGGCCCGCACAAGCGGUGGAGUAUGUGGUUUAAUUCGAAGCAACGCGAAGAACCUUACCAGGCCUUGACAUGGGAUGCGAAGAUGCAGAGAUGCAUCGGAGGUUAUCAUCCACACAGGUGGUGCAUGGUUGUCGUCAGCUCGUGUCGUGAGAUGUUGGGUCAAGUCCCGCAACGAGCGCAACCCUUGUGGCAUGUUGCUAACAGGAAAAGCUGAGGACUCAUGCCAGACUGCCGGUGACAAACCGGAGGAAGGCGGGGAUGACGUCAAAUCAUCAUGCCCCUUAUGGCCUGGGCUACACACGU
rnacentral:rRNA from 1 species